GACGAACGCUGGCGGCGUGCCUAAUACAUGCAAGUCGAGCGGAGCGGCGGACGUGUGAGUAAUGCCUAGGAAUCUUCCUGGUCGUGGGGGAUAACGUCCGGAAACGGGCGCUAAUACCGCAUACUAUCAGAUGAGCCUCGGUCGGAUUAGCUAGUUGGUGGGGUAAAGGCCUACCAAGGCGACGAUCCGUACCUGGUCUGAGAGGAUGAUCAGUCAAACUGGAACUGAGACACGGUCCAGACGCCUACGGGAGGCAGCAGGGGGGAAUAUUGGACAAUGGGCGAAAGCCUGAUCCAGCCAUGCCGCGUGUGUGAAGAAGGUCUUCGGAUUGUAAAGCACUUUAAGUUGGGAGGCGUUACCAACAGAAUAAGCACCGGCUAACUUCGUGCCAGCAGCCGCGGUAAUAC
rnacentral:rRNA from 1 species